rnacentral:tRNA from 1 species
GCGGUUAUGGCUGAAUUGGUAGACGCACUACCUUGAGGCGAUAGCGGGGAGACCCGUGGAGGUUCGAGUCCUCUUAACCGGU